UGAGCAUUGUACUGAGGUCCUCCAUGGUC
rnacentral:sRNA from 1 species